rnacentral:rRNA from 1 species
GCGAAACUGCGAACGGCUCAUUAAAACAGUUAUUGUUUAUUUGAUAAAUUCUACUACAUGGAUAACCGUAGUAAAUCACAGCUAAUACAUGCAAUAAAAGCCCGACUUCGGAAGGGCUGUAUUUAUUAGAUUAAACACCAACCGGCUUCGGCCGUUUCCGGUGAAUCAUGAUGACUAAACGAAUCGCAGAGCCCUUGCGGCGGCGAUACUCCAUUCAAAUUUCUGCCCUAUCAGCUUUCAACCGUAGGAUAUGGGCCUACGGUGGCUACAACGGGUCACGGAGAAUCAAGGUUCCAUUCCGGAAAGGGAGCCUGAGAAACGGCUACCCCCUCCAAGGGAGGGAGCCAGGGCGCAAAUUUCCCCAUGGCAAUUUCGCCAGGGAGGGACCAAGAAUUAACACCAAUUGAAUUUUUAUCCAAAUGGUGGGAAAGGUGGGGAAAUUAACCGCACGGACAAAGACCCAUAGGAGGGAAAGCCUGGGGCCAUAUCCUCAAGAAAGUAUAAUCCUGUAAAGAACACUAAAGUUGUUGAGAUUAACAAGAGCGAAGCCGCACGAGCGACAGGGGGAACACACUC